GCCAGCGGCGAUGGCACGUUGAAUGCACCAGUUCCCAGUGGAUCACUUGAUGUUAAGCAACCGUGUGGUUGGUGUUGGGAUGGGUGACCAUUUGGGUAAUCGCGAGCUGCUGACU
rnacentral:rRNA from 1 species